ensembl:lncRNA
UUUGACUUCAACUUUUUUAUGUCUGCUCAGGAAGAAGAGCAGUGAUGCAUUUCUCGAAGAUGGCAUUGCAAAAGAAAUCCAUAACAAAUGGCAAGAGAUGUCCUAUCAGUGCCCAAGGCAGGGGAGCUGUGACUACUUAGGGUGCGAUAUCACAGCAUUCCCUGCUACCUUUCCCUGUUACCCAAUGCUUUCCAUGGUGAGAGGUUGCAAUCCAUCCCUGCACGCAAACCCUGCCAUUGCUUUCUGCACUGUGGGUAAUGUGCGGCUGAUUGGCCAUUAGCACUGAAUUAUGGAUUAGCUUGGCCUUGGAGAAAACAAACAUUUCUAGGAAGAUCAACAGCAGCAGUAAAAUUAAUGAGGAGGAGAGGUAAUAAAGCAGUAGUAUCAUUCAAAAAGAAGAAAAAAAAAAAAGAACAGCAAUACAGAUAUAAUAAUAGAGUGCUUCAGGUAUGACUGAAUUAACCUUUCAGGUUAAUUAACCCGUUAGCAGGUUAUCUAAUUAAGCUGAAUUAACUAAAGAGAAAUAAAUUAAGAGUUUAGUUGAAGUGAUUCACCUUGUUCCAUGUUAUCAAACAAGUGUUACCACCUGUUAGGUUUUUAUUAUUGUCUCUGUAGGUCUUGUUUCAUGAUCAGAUAUAAUUACUGUACUGUGGAACCUGACAUAGAAGGAAAUGGAAAUAAUUAAGCAGGCAGCACAGUGUAUGCCUGCUCUAUGUAUUACAGCAUAUGAUUCUAACCCAAGCGAUAAAGAGAACAUGAGCACAUUAUAACCAGUGAGAAAAAACGAACUGUAAUGAGUAUUAGUAAGGUAUAAUGAGAAUUAAUAUCCUUUAAACAUACAGCCAGAACCAUCUUGCAAACAAGGAAAGCCUUCUCUUUGCUUAUCUAGAUGAAAUCAGUAAGUCUGGAGGAGCUGGUAAUAUCCAGUUUAACCUGGGAUAUUGAAUUAGGAAUAUUCUUUAAUCACUCCAAAUUCAAAGUUAAUCUAAAGCUGCAUCAGGAAAAAAGUGCACAUAAAUGUGGUCACGCUUAAACUAUCACGGAAGCCAAAGUGUCUGCAACUGGAAUCAUCCCUUCUUUGUACACCAACACCAACCUCCUCGUUCCCUCGUGGUGCUCUUCCAGUGCAAGGCUGAUUAAAAAAAAGCGUGGCACUUGUCUUACUACCUUAAUUCUUUGCUUGAAAAAGGAGCCUUCCUCUUAUCCUCAAUGGAGUGUAGUUUUUCAGAGAGGAUCUUUCCAUUCUCUUCUUGAGUUUGUGUAUAGCUUAGUGAGGAUUGGACCAGUCCAGCAAGGAAUCCAAAUCUAUCAGCUCCUUACUAAAAUCUUGUAUACCAAAAUUCUUGUAUAAUUGAAGAGCAAGUCGUUAUUUCACAUUUUUCUCUGCUGAGAUGGUAAGAGGUACAGUGCACCUCGAUUUCAAACCCACUCUGGGACUUUACGCACUGGAACAGGUUGCCCAAGGGGGUUAUGGAAGCGCCAUCCCUGCAGAGAUUCAAGGCCAGAGCCACAUAUAUAGAGGCCUAUACCAAGCUAGGAAAGUCUCAGUUUUUCAUUUGGAUUUGGACUUUCUGAGGCUGUAGAGCUCCUAUGGGAACUUGUCCCACCAG